GUCGAGGGGUAACAGGAGUAGCUUGCUAUUUGCUGACGACCGGCGCACGGGUGCGUAACGCGUAUAGAAUCUACCUUAUACUGGGGGAUAGCCUUUGGAAACGAAGAUUAAUACCCCAUAGUAUUAUUUUUUGGCAUCAUUAAAUAAUUAAAGUUUCGGCGGUAUAAGAUGACUAUGCGUUCUAUUAGUUAGUUGGUAAGGUAACGGCUUACCAAGACUUCGAUAGAUAGGGGUCCUGAGAGGGAGAUCCCCCACACUGGUACUGAGACACGGACCAGACUCCUACGGGAGGCAGCAGUGAGGAAUAUUGGACAAUGGAGGCAACUCUGAUCCAGCCAUGCCGCGUGUAGGAAGACUGCCCUAUGGGUUGUAAACUACUUUUAUAUGGGAAGAAUAAGAUCUACGUGUAGAUNGAUGACGGUACCAUAAGAAUAAGCACCGGCUAACUCCGUGCCAGCAGCCGCGGUAAUACGGAGGGUGCAAGCGUUAUCCGGAAUCAUUGGGUUUAAAGGGUCCGUAGGCGGGCAUAUAAGUCAGUGGUGAAAGUCUGUGGCUNAACCAUAGAAUUGCCAUUGAUACUGUAUGUCUUGAAUUAUUGUGAAGUGGUUAGAAUAUGUAGUGUAGCGGUGAAAUGCUUAGAGAUUACAUAGAAUACCGAUUGCGAAGGCAGAUCACUAACAAUAUAUUGACGCUGAUGGACGAAAGCGUAGGUAGCGAACAGGAUUAGAUACCCUGGUAGUCUACGCCGUAAACGAUGGAUACUAGUUGUUUGGUUUUCGGACUGAGUGACUAAGCGAAAGUGAUAAGUAUCCCACCUGGGGAGUACGUUCGCAAGAAUGAAACUCAAAGGAAUUGACGGGGGCCCGCACNAGCGGUGGAGCAUGUGGUUUAAUUCGAUGAUACGCGAGGAACCUUACCAGGGCUUAAAUGUAGUCUGACAGCUUUAGAGAUAGAGUUUUCUUCGGACAGAUUACAAGGUGCUGCAUGGUUGUCGUCAGCUCGUGCCGUGAGGUGUCAGGUUAAGUCCUAUAACGAGCGCAACCCCUGUGGUUAGUUGCCAGCGAGUAAUGUCGGGAACUCUAGCCAGACUGCCGGUGCAAACCGUGAGGAAGGUGGGGAUGACGUCAAAUCAUCACGGCCCUUACGUCCUGGGCCACACACGUGCUACAAUGGUAGGGACAGAGAGCAGCCACUUAGCGAUAAGGAGCGAAUCUAUAAACCCUAUCUCAGUUCGGAUUGGAGUCUGCAACUCGACUCCAUGAAGCUGGAAUCGCUAGUAAUCGGAUAUCAGCCAUGAUCCGGUGAAUACGUUCCCGGGCCUUGUACACACCGCCCGUCAAGCCAUGGAAGCUGGGGGUACCUGAAGUCCGUCACCGUAAGGAGC
rnacentral:rRNA from 1 species